rnacentral:rRNA from 1 species
UACGCAGGGGGCUAGCGUUGCUCGGAAUGACUGGGCGUAAAGGGCGCGUAGGCGGUUUGUACAGUCAGGUGUGAAAUUCCCGGGCUCAACCUGGGGGCUGCACUUGAUACGUAUGGACUGGAGUGGGGAAGAGGGUCGUGGAAUUCCCAGUGUAGAGGUGAAAUUCGUAGAUAUUGGGAAGAACACCGGUGGCGAAGGCGGCGACCUGGUCCUUGACUGACGCUGAGGCGCGAAAGCGUGGGGAGCAAACAGG